rnacentral:rRNA from 1 species
UACAGGGGGUGCUAGCGUUGUUCGGAAUUACUGGGCGUAAAGGGCGCGCAGGCGGCUCAUUUUGUCAGGCGUGAAAGCCCCGGGCUUAACCUGGGAACUGCGUUUGAUACGGAUGGGCUAGAGUUCGGGAGAGGAGAGUGGAAUUCCCAGUGUAGAGGUGAAAUUCGUAGAUAUUGGGAAGAACACCGGUGGCGAAGGCGGCUCUCUGGACCGAGACUGACGCUGAGGCGCGAAAGCGUGGGGAGCAAACAGG